GGCAGGUGAGGUUUCCAGACCUGUAGUCUCAGCUGCUUGGGAGGCUGAGACAGGAGGAUCACUUGAGUACAGGAGUUUUGGGCUGUAGUGUGCUAUGCCAAUCGGGUGUCUGCACUAAGCACUAAGUUCGGCAUCCAUGUGGUGGUGGUGAUGUUCUGGAAGCAGGGGACCACAAGGUUGCCUAAGGAGGAGUGAACAGGCCCAGCUGGGAAUGGAGCAGGUGGUCAAAACUCCUGUGCUGAUCAGUAGUGGGAUCAUGCCUGUGAAUAGCCACUGCACUCCAACCAGGGCAACACAACAAGACCCUGUUCUCCU
rnacentral:SRP_RNA from 1 species